rnacentral:rRNA from 1 species
GACGAAGGAUGCAAGCGUUAUCCGGAUUCAUUGGGCGUAAAGGGUGCGUAGGUGGCGCCGUAAGUCAGGUGUGAAAUUUCGGAGCUUAACUCCGAAACUGCAUUUGAUACUGCGGUGCUUGAGGACUGGAGAGGAGACUGGAAUUUACGGUGUAGCAGUGAAAUGCGUAGAGAUCGUAAGGAAGACCAGUGGCGAAGGCGGGUCUCUGGACAGUUCCUGACACUGAGGCACGAAGGCCAGGGGAGCAAACGGG